AACGAACGCUGGCGGCAUGCCUAACACAUGCAAGUCGAACGAGACCUUCGGGUCUAGUGGCGCACGGGUGCGUAACGCGUGGGAACCUGCCCUUAGGUUCGGAAUAACUCCCCGAAAGGGGUGCUAAUACCGGAUAAUGUCUUCGGACCAAAGAUUUAUCGCCUUUGGAUGGGCCCGCGUUGGAUUAGCUAGUUGGUAGGGUACAAGCCUACCAAGGCGACGAUCCAUAGCUGGUCUGAUAAGAUGAUCAGCCACACUGGGACUGAGACACGGCCCAGACUCGUACGGGGGGCAGCGGUAGGGAAUACUGGGGGAUGGGCGAAAGUCUGAUCCAGCAGUGCCGCGUGAGUGAUGAAGGCCUUAGGGUUGUAAAGCUCUUUUACCCGGGAUGAGAAUGACAGUACCGGGAGAAUAAGCACCGGCUAACUCCGUG
rnacentral:rRNA from 1 species